GGUAAAAUGGCCGAAGUAGGUGUAGGGUUGUAGCCCCUUUUAUAAAGGUAAAGUCCUUUUUUUAUCA
rnacentral:tRNA from 1 species